rfam:Salmo salar isolate Sally breed double haploid chromosome ssa15, whole genome shotgun sequence.
AAAUUGGUUCCUUGUAAGUCGCUCUGGAUAAGAGCUUCUGCUAAAUGACUAAAA